UACGGGGGGAGCAAGCGUUGUUCGGAUUUACUGGGCGUAAAGGGCGCGUAGGCGGCCAGCACAAGUCAGUUGUGAAAUCUCCGAGCUUAACUCGGAAAGGUCAACUGAUACUGUGCGGCUAGAGUGCGGAAGGGGCAACUGGAAUUCCUGGUGUAGCAGUGAAAUGCGUAGAUAUCAGGAGGAACACCGAUGGCGAAGGCAGGUCUCUGGGCUGACACUGACGCUCAUGCACGAAAGCGUGGGGAGCAAACAGG
rnacentral:rRNA from 1 species